rnacentral:rRNA from 1 species
UACGUAGGGUGCAAGCGUUGUCCGGAAUUAUUGGGCGUAAAGAGCUCGUAGGCGGUUAGUCGCGUCUGCUGUGAAAACUCGGGGCUUAACUCCGGGCCUGCAGUGGGUACGGGCUGACUAGAGUGCGGUAGGGGAGACUGGAAUUCCUGGUGUAGCGGUGAAAUGCGCAGAUAUCAGGAGGAACACCGGUGGCGAAGGCGGGUCUCUGGGCCGUAACUGACGCUGAGGAGCGAAAGCGUGGGGAGCGAUCCGG